rnacentral:rRNA from 1 species
GACGAACGCUGGCGGCGUGCUUAACACAUGCAAGUCGAGCGGGUAAGGCCCUUUCGGGGUACGACGAGCGGCGAACGGGUAGAGUAACAACGUGGGUGGACCUCGCCCUCCAGCUCUGGGAGUAAAGACCCGGGAAACCGUAGGGUCGUAAUACCGGAUAUGACUCCAUGACGCAUGUUGUGGGGUGGGAAAGCCUUGUGCGGCUGAGGAUGGGCCCGCGGCCUAUCAGCUUGUUGGUGGGGUGAUGGCCACCAAGGCGACGACGGGUAGCCGGCCUGAGAGGGCGACCGGCCACACUGGGACUGAGACACGGCCCAGACUCCUACGGGAGGCAGCAGUGGGGAAUCUUGCACAAUGGGCGAAAGCCUGAUGCAGCGACGCCGCGUGAGGGAUGACGGCCUGUGUAAC